rnacentral:tRNA from 1 species
GGGGCUGUAGCUCAGCAGCAGAGCGCUUGCCUAGCAUGCAUGAAGCACUGGGUUCCAUCCUCAGCACCA